UGGCGGCAAUAGCGCGGUGGUCCCACCUGACCCCAUGCCGAACUCAGAAGUGAAACGCCGUAGCGCCGAUGGUAGUGUGGGGUCUCCCCAUGCGAGAUUAGGACACUGCCAGGUA
rnacentral:rRNA from 1 species